UACGUAGGGGGCGAGCGUUGUCCGGAAUUAUUGGGCGUAAAGAGCUCGUAGGCGGUUUGUCGCGUCGAAUGUGAAAACCCGGGGCUCAACUCCGGGCCUGCAUUCGAUACGGGCAGACUAGAGUUCGGUAGGGGAGACUGGAAUUCCUGGUGUAGCGGUGAAAUGCGCAGAUAUCAGGAGGAACACCGGUGGCGAAGGCGGGUCUCUGGGCCGAUACUGACGCUGAGGAGCGAAAGCGUGGGGGAGCGAACAGG
rnacentral:rRNA from 1 species